rnacentral:rRNA from 1 species
GAUCUCUCGAUCCAAUUGUGUUAUCGUCUGUUCCUGUUCCGAUAAUUAACCAUCAGGAGGAGGUCAUAUACAGCCGUCGCCUAGGUAACCAACACCGAGUACAAAAUGUUCUACACGAACUAGGUAAAUGUAGUUGACAAGGCGAGUCCUAUCGGAUGUUGUUAUCCGAUCAAGACCGUCCACGACUCGAUUCUGGUAGACGUUAACAUUCGUUCGGUGCUCAACUAUAGCCACCGUCACUGUACUCUCAGGAGAUAUGGGACUAUAACCACCUAGGUCUGCGGGGUUCGGGUUCAGUGGGUAGUGAUUCCCUCAUGAACGUGACCUACCACAGGCUGUAGGGACCUUGUUGAUCACCGUCGAAGCCAUACUACAGUACGUAUUGUUAAACAAGUUACAAUAAAAACCAAAAUCGACUUAAAACGUCUACGUAUUUAGUCCAGUACAAUUCAAGAAAGGGAGUUUGCUGAGCUAUGUUCGAUUAAGGUUAUAUCAGGUAGUAAUUGUGGUUCUAUAGAAUUUGGUACUGUUUCUUAUUUAGAUUUGUCCCAUUUUACUGUAAACAUACAUGUCGGAUUUCUUCUUUCUUGAGAAUUUCGUCACACAUGAAUUCUUAAAGGAAAAAGAUAGAUGAUAAAUAUGAACUAAAUAAAACGUAUACAUGUUUGUGUUUUAAGUACGUUAGUUAAUUAUAGUAAGUUAGAAUAUGACCAAAACUUCUCAAAAUACCAUGUGAGGGAUAUGUAUAUGUCGUCUAAUAUAAUCUUCUGAGGAAAAACGGAUCUUGACUUGUUUCAUCUGGUGUAGCGUCUAUUUACUGAUUUACAAAGGUGGUUCAACUUAAUGAGAAAUUUAAGAUUUGAUUAAUUAUGAUCCCACGAGAGCGUCCGGUUCUCGAACAUCAAAUACUUUCUGGUCUUGGGUCUAGACCAUAAGUGGCCUACCAUAAACACGACAAGGUCGUUGAUCCGUCCCCUUGUCAAAAACGUGGUCUACACGCUGUGUUAAAGUCGACGUCUUUGAAACGUGCCGUCAUGGUGGAGUUGUAACACCGACGGAGUAUAAAGUUGACAGUUUCCCUUCCACCUAGACCGCCUUCUUCCAAAUCCGGUCUUUCAAGAGUUCCCCUCAUCUCUAAUCUAUCAUGUCUCAUUUCUGGUAAUAUACGACAUGACAUCACAACAUGGUGUUUAUUACACGUCAUAUAUCUUACAGAACAUAGUAGAUUUAUACGUCGUAAUAUACAUAGAAGUCGAUACUAUUCGAACUACCUUAUAUAGAGUUAGUAAUCAAUU